rnacentral:rRNA from 1 species
CCUACGGGCGGCAGCAGUGGGGAAUAUUGGACAAUGGGGGGAACCCUGAUCCAGCCAUGCCGCGUGUGUGAAGAAGGCCCUCGGGUUGUAAAGCACUUUCAGUGAGGAAGAACGCCUGGUGGUUAAUACCCAUCAGGAAAGACAUCACUCACAGAAGAAGCACCGGCUAACUCCGUGCCAGCAGCCGCGGUAAUACGGAGGGUGCGAGCGUUAAUCGGAAUUACUGGGCGUAAAGCGCGCGUAGGUGGCUUGAUAAGCCGGUUGUGAAAGCCCCGGGCUCAACCUGGGAACGGCAUCCGGAACUGUCAAGCUAGAGUGCAGGAGAGGAAGGUAGAAUUCCCGGUGUAGCGGUGAAAUGCGUAGAGAUCGGGAGGAAUACCAGUGGCGAAGGCGGCCUUCUGGACUGACACUGACACUGAGGCGCGAAAGCGUGGGUAGCAAACAGGAUUAGAUACCCCGGUAGUC